rnacentral:rRNA from 1 species
UGGGGAAUAUUGGACAAUGGGCGCAAGCCUGAUCCAGCCAUGCCGCGUGAGUGAUGAAGGCCCUAGGGUUGUAAAGCUCUUUCACCGGUGAAGAUAAUGACGGUAACCGGAGAAGAAGCCCCGGCUAACUUCGUGCCAGCAGCCGCGGUAAUACGAAGGGGGCUAGCGUUGUUCGGAUUUACUGGGCGUAAAGCGCACGUAGGCGGACUUUUAAGUCAGGGGUGAAAUCCCGGGGCUCAACCCCGGAACUGCCUUUGAUACUGGAAGUCUUGAGUAUGGUAGAGGUGAGUGGAAUUCCGAGUGUAGAGGUGAAAUUCGUAGAUAUUCGGAGGAACACCAGUGGCGAAGGCGGCUCACUGGAGCAUUACUGACGCUGAGGUGCGAAAGCGUGGGGAGCAAACAGG